rnacentral:lncRNA from 1 species
AAUAAUAUAAUAAUCAUGAUGGAUGCUAUUUAUCCAAAAUCAUGCAAUCAUUUGCUAACACAUGUUGGAUCCUAAUUUUGUGAAAAUAUAAAUAAUCAUAUACAAUUUCAUAACAAAUAGUCACAAGUAUUUGAUAGAACAUAAGAUUAUAUCCGGGUUACUUACAUUUUUCACAAUUCAUAUACACAAUUCCAAUAAUACUUUUUCAUCAUAUAAAACGUGAUACAUGAUCCAUAAUAAGAUUAAGACAGGUUACUUACAUUAAUUUGCUCACCAAAUGCUAAUUCUCCAAUACCUAGCAAUAUCAUUAAAUUACAUGUUACUUGCACAUUUAAUUUAUUUUUAUUUAUAAUCUUAAAAUCAUUUACAGCCCAUCCAUAGGACUCAAUUUCAUUUUCGGGUCCACAGCCUAAUUCAAUUUCUGGUACAGGUCUGGG